ACGGGAGGCAGCAGUGAGGAAUAUUGGUCAAUGGGCGAGAGCCUGAACCAGCCAUGUCGCGUGGAGGAAUAAGGAUCUAUGGUUCGUAAACUCCUUUUGCGGGGGGAUAAAGUGCGGGACGUGUCCCGCUUUGCAGGUACCCCGCGAAUAAGCAUCGGCUAACUCCGUGCCAGCAGCCGCGGUAAUACGGAGGAUGCGAGCGUUAUCCGGUUUUAUUGGGUUUAAAGGGUGCGUAGGCGGCCCCUUAAGUCGGCGGUUAAAUGUCCGGGGUCAACCCGGUCACUGCCGUCGAAACUGGGGGUGCUUGAGUGCGUUUGGGGUGGCUGGAAUGUGCGGUGUAGCGGUGAAAUGCAUAGAUAUCGCACAGAACGCCGAUCGCGGAGGCAGGUCACCAAGCCGCAACUGACGCUGAGGCACGAAAGCGCGGGGAUCGAACAGGAUUAGAUACCCUGGUA
rnacentral:rRNA from 1 species